UACGAAGGGGGCUAGCGUUGCUCGGAAUCACUGGGCGUAAAGGGUGCGUAGGCGGGGCUUUAAGUCAGGGGUGAAAUCCUGGAGCUCAACUCCAGAACUGCCUUUGAUACUGAAGAUCUUGAGUUCGGGAGAGGUGAGUGGAACUGCGAGUGUAGAGGUGAAAUUCGUAGAUAUUCGCAAGAACACCAGUGGCGAAGGCGGCUCACUGGACCGAUACUGACGCUGAGGCAUGAAAGCGUGGGGAGCAAACAGG
rnacentral:rRNA from 1 species